AGCUUGCUCCCUGAUGUUAGCGGCGGACGGGUGAGUAACACGUGGGUAACCUGCCUGUAAGACUGGGAUAACUCCGGGAAACCGGGGCUAAUACCGGAUGGUUGUUUGAACCGCAUGGUUCAAACAUAAAAGGUGGCUUCGGCUACCACUUACAGAUGGACCCGCGGCGCAUUAGCUAGUUGGUGAGGUAACGGCUCACCAAGGCGACGAUGCGUAGCCGACCUGAGAGGGUGAUCGGCCACACUGGGACUGAGACACGGCCCAGACUCCUACGGGAGGCAGCAGUAGGGAAUCUUCCGCAAUGGACGAAAGUCUGACGGAGCAACGCCGCGUGAGUGAUGAAGGUUUUCGGAUCGUAAAGCUCUGUUGUUAGGGAAGAACAAGUACCGUUCGAAUAGGGCGGUACCUUGACGGUACCUAACCAGAAAGCCACGGCUAACUACGUGCCAGCAGCCGCGGUAAUACGUAGGUGGCAAGCGUUGUCCGGAAUUAUUGGGCGUAAAGGGCUCGCAGGCGGUUUCUUAAGUCUGAUGUGAAAGCCCCCGGCUCAACCGGGGAGGGUCAUUGGAAACUGGGGAACUUGAGUGCAGAAGAGGAGAGUGGAAUUCCACGUGUAGCGGUGAAAUGCGUAGAGAUGUGGAGGAACACCAGUGGCGAAGGCGACUCUCUGGUCUGUAACUGACGCUGAGGAGCGAAAGCGUGGGGAGCGAACAGGAUUAGAUACCCUGGUAGUCCACGCCGUAAACGAUGAGUGCUAAGUGUUAGGGGGUUUCCGCCCCUUAGUGCUGCAGCUAACGCAUUAAGCACUCCGCCUGGGGAGUACGGUCGCAAGACUGAAACUCAAAGGAAUUGACGGGGGCCCGCACAAGCGGUGGAGCAUGUGGUUUAAUUCGAAGCAACGCGAAGAACCUUACCAGGUCUUGACAUCCUCUGACAAUCCUAGAGAUAGGACGUCCCCUUCGGGGGCAGAGUGACAGGUGGUGCAUGGUUGUCGUCAGCUCGUGUCGUGAGAUGUUGGGUUAAGUCCCGCAACGAGCGCAACCCUUGAUCUUAGUUGCCAGCAUUCAGUUGGGCACUCUAAGGUGACUGCCGGUGACAAACCGGAGGAAGGUGGGGAUGACGUCAAAUCAUCAUGCCCCUUAUGACCUGGGCUACACACGUGCUACAAUGGACAGAACAAAGGGCAGCGAAACCGCGAGGUUAAGCCAAUCCCACAAAUCUGUUCUCAGUUCGGAUCGCAGUCUGCAACUCGACUGCGUGAAGCUGGAAUCGCUAGUAAUCG
rnacentral:rRNA from 1 species